GCGACUGCUCCUCCGAUCCAUCCCCACUCGUUUUUCUUUUUCAGUUUUAUUAAUCUAAUGCGCGAGUACUAGUACCAGUAGUCCAUCCACCGGCCUUUCAGUGACUCUAACUAAACCUUAUCAUUAGCCUCUCUCUCUCUCCUCUUCUCCAUUAGUCCGUCCUUCACCUCGCUCCUCAGCUCCAUGUAUGGAGCGAGAGCUUUCCUAGCUAGCUGGCGCCUGCAACGAGGAAAACCAGCAGCAAGCAAGCAAGAUCCAGUAGCCUCCCACUCAUCAUACUAUCAUCCUAUCUAGGGUUUUGCUCUGGCUGCAGGCUCCUCGGCCGGCCCAGUCCUCAUCGAUCUGCUCCUUCAUUCUAACCGGCCAGCGGGGCCGCCCCGGCGGCGGCCGGCCGGCCUUAUAUAUACCUAGCUCUCUUGCUUGCCUAGAUCGAUCCAUGUAGCCAGCGCAGCCCGCACCCUUCCCAGCUCGAUCUCAUCACCUCCAUUAAUUAGCUUGUGCAACCAAAUGCCCCGGCACCUUAUCACCUUGUUCGAUUCAAUUCGCCUGCUAUAUGCUGCUACUUUCUCUCUCGAUAUAUAUAUAUAUACACGCGAGCGAGUGUAGAUCGAUCCUCGAUCUCACGCACAUCUCCAUCGACCCCCUUCUUUAAUUUGUCCGGCGGCGGCGACUACUGUGGUGGAGUACACUACACGUGUGGUCGGCGCGCGCGUGGAAAGAUAAACAGAUCGAUCGUGCGGUCCGGCCGGUUCUUGAUUCUUCGAUUCUCUGUUCUCUCUAUAUAUAUCUCGCUCUUCCCUUUAUUUUGAUCUUUUGAUAUAUACAUAUCCUUUCCUUCCUCAGAAUGAAGGCCGGCCGGUGUCUAAGUCUAAUUUGAUGCGUUCUUCUUCUUCGUUCUUCUUGAUUCAAAGCUCUCUACUAGCAGCUAGCUAGCUCCUCCUUCUCGUCUAUAUAUAUAUAGAUGUGGGGUCUUUCUUUCCCUCUCUGAUCUUCCCAGCUUAUUUGACGGGAUUAUUCAGAUAUUAUUAGUCAGAAGCAAGCAUGCACGCACAGAUCUCCCCAUCAUAUCUGUGAACACCUUAAUUAGCUUCCUGCCGGAUCCAUCACCUUAUCUUGGAACGAAGAUAGAAGAAGCUAGCUAGCAAACAGUCGGUGCUUGCAGGUGCAGCACCAUCAAGAUUCACAUCGUCAAACUCAUCUUCAGUUAUGCUGCGCUAUGGUUCGCACUUGCUAUAUUCAUGCUGCAUACCUGUUGAUCGAGAUGAGAAUCUUGAUGAUGCUGCAUCAGCAGACACUCACUCAUCACCUUGAAGCUAGCUAGGGUGAGAGGCGGAUCCGGUACGGUGCAGCAAUUGGGGACGACGAGUAUUUCCUUCUUUCUUUCUUUCUUUCUUUCUUUCUUUCUUUCUUUCUUUCUUUCUUUCUUUCAGUUGCUAUACAUAUCUUGCAUAAUAUUUUUCACUUGAGUUGAGUUAAUUAUAUAUUCCUCUGAUCUCUCUCUUUUUUUCAUACAUUUAAUUAAUUUGUUUUCAUCGGUCUUGCAAAUUAAAGCAAAACUUGUCUGCAGAAUCUUCCUAGCUAGUCUCCAUCAUGGAGAGGACGAAGUGUUUAUUUGCCUGAUGAUGUUGGGCCCGAAAAGAAGAAGUGCCGCCGCGCCGCAGCAGAUGUCUGCUUGUGAUCGAUUUGCCCUUUCCUCACUCACUCCAUUUCAAUUGAUGGCAUCGUCAGACACUCAUUCUCAAGGUUAAAUUCUUCCCUGCUUUGAUUUGCACGGCAGAAAGCAGCAUCAUGUGCACAUUUGCUGAUUUUGAAGAUAAUUUCCUUUGUUUGGAUCGAAGAAUAUGUGUCUGGACAUCAUUAAGCUUACACCGAGCUUAAAGGUUCUAGUUAAUUUGCGCAUAUAUAUAGUAUAAUCCAUGCAUGUAACCUAGGAGUAACUUUAUUUCAUUUGGUACAUCUUUGGUUAUCCAUAUAUCCUCCCUCAAGAUUAAUCCAGUACUAGCUAAUACUGGUAUAUAUAUAAGAUUGACCACAGCACACAUGCAUCCUAGUGGUAGCUAGAGACAGUCAUCAAACAUUAAUUAAUAAUCUAUCAAGCUAAUUAAUUACUAUAUAUAUGUAUAUGUAUUCAGAGAGUUUUGUUUCCUUAAUCAUUCUCUGUCAUCUAUAUACUUUAUUUCUUCUUGUCCCAAUGCAAACCCAAUGUGUGCCAACACUGCACUCGCGUCGGCAUCAUCAUCAUCUCUGAUUGACGUAGUACAGAUAUGCUGAUCUACAAAAUAUUCCCAAUCAUCAUUAGUUGAGAUGUUGUGUGUCACCCUAGCUAACUGCAUAUAUUCUCUUGUUGUAUCUGCACUCUCUGCUGCUACCUUAGACAUUAUAUUUGUACGCACUCCUAUCCAUUUAUUUCCUAUAUAAAGCCGGGUGCCAUCCAACAAAGACUGCAGGCAUACUCUUUGUUUGAGUAGCUAGUUAUAUAUGUAUAGACAGCAUAUGCUUGCGCCCUUAUUUGUUUCUCUGAUGCUUGCAACCAAAGUGCAGGCAUCUUAUCUCCCUCAUCAGAGCCUGUGUGUAGCCUGCUUUAUUUUUUCUUAAUAUGUGUAGUCAUCGAUCGUAAGCUUAAUCGUCGUUCCUGGUAAUAGAUGCAUGCUGAAUUAAAUAUGAGUAUAUAACAAUAAUAGUGCACUGAUGACCAUCCAAUAAGUUUAAUUCUCCAAGAUUUGUGUGUGAUCGAAAUUUAAGAUGGAAGGUAUAUCUUGUGGGGUGUGUGUGUGUGUAUUUUAUUUAAAAUCUCCUCUGAUAAAUAUAUGUGGUGUUGAUGAGUUCGUCAUGCAGUGGUUGGUUGUAUGUGAAAUCUCAAGGGUGGUCCACUGCGACUACCAAAACUGCAUGCACGCAGCAGCAGCCAUGAUAUCAUGAGGAAGAAGAGAAUACACACAACAUAUACCGGCCGGCCGGCCGGGAAGCAAGAAGGGGCAUAUGAUUCAGCAACAGCAGUGGCAGUUGAUGAUGAUGUACAUGAUCGAUGAAGAAAUGAGCAGUGCCUGUGCCUGUGCCUGUGCCUGGGCCUGGAUAGAGAAUAGAGAGAUGCAUGCUAGCUAGCUGCUGCUUCAACUUGUUGGAGUGGACCAUUGCAUUGCAUUGCAUAGACGAUGCAUGGAUCGAUCAUAUCGGUCCAUCUCGACGGGAUGCAGAGUCAGGCAAGGUGGUGGUACGUACGCAGUACAUUGCUAUUAUUGUGCCAAAGGAAGGGGACCAAUAUACACAUAAUGCACACACCAGAGCCGCUGCUGCAAGGUGAGGGACAAACCUUGCAGACGCUGGGGGUGCUGGUACAACGUACUACUGCUUACUGGACCAACAAUGCAAACUAAAGGUGAAAAAUUUCAACUCACCUUACCUAUUACUUUUGCCUUUCUGCAGGCUGCAAACUGCAGGUCUUUGUGUGUUUGUGUUCUCCCUUUAUACUGGGUCGGAUAUGUACAUCUUUAAUAGUUUCAGUUCACACUGUAUGCAUCCAUGAUCGAUCUGUAUAUAUCUGUAAAGCUUGCAAAUUGGAUUGCCACAGUCCUGUGAUGGUCCACCUACUUAA